rnacentral:rRNA from 1 species
UACGUAGGGUGCAAGCGUUGUCCGGAAUUAUUGGGCGUAAAGAGCUCGUAGGCGGUUUGUCGCGUCGAAUGUGAAAACCCGGGGCUCAACUCCGGGCCUGCAUUCGAUACGGGCAGACUAGAGUUCGGUAGGGGAGACUGGAAUUCCUGGUGUAGCGGUGAAAUGCGCAGAUAUCAGGAGGAACACCGGUGGCGAAGGCGGGUCUCUGGGCCGAUACUGACGCUGAGGCGCGAAAGCUAGGGGAGCAAACGGG